rnacentral:lncRNA from 1 species
AUCAUUUGAUGUUUUAAAUUAGAAUCAUAUCAAACCCAAUAUUAUCAUAUUUAUUAAACAUAUGCCAAAUUUAGUGUACCCUCAGAAGUUUUAUUGCAGACACAUCCAUUUUUCAUUAAAAUCUACAUCUUUUUGAAAUAAACUUUAGCAUUCAUCAUAAUUUAUUGCAUGCCACAAAAGGGUACAUAAUUAUUUUUCAAAAGAAGAAAAUUAACAUAAUAAGUAUAUUGCCUUAUAUCUUUGCAGAUCAUUCACCCUGAAUUACAGACUCACCCAUGUUGGGGGAGAACUUAUAUGUAAUCUAAAACAACUUUCUUGAUAGCUUUGAAAGAAAAAUGAAUCCAACUUGUGACUUCAGCAAUUACCUUAGCCUAAAAAUGAUAUAAAUAAUACACAAUAUAUAUCAUGUUUUCUAAUAUAUUAAAAUAAUACUGUAAUAUGACUACAGUGACCAUAAAACUAACUGUCUUAGUGGGAUAUAUUAUACAGUGAACAGGGAAACUGUUGUGAAUUUAGUCUUGAUACUGUGUAAAAUGAAACAUCUGGACAUACAAUCAUCCUAGCUCUCAACUCCCUUGAUAGGAAUCCUCUGUUUGUGUUCAUGUUGGCUUAUUUUUUAAUUGUUGUUUUUGAAAUAUUGUGUGUUGCAUUUUAGAUUUAAGGCAAUUUGGGGGUAAAAAUAAAAUUUUUAGAUUGUUUUUAUGACUGUGGAAUACAAAAGGUGUCUAUUUUAUAAGUUUAAAAAUUUCUACUCCCAUACCAUAUAAAAGGAAAACCACUACAUUAUUUUAUGAUGCAAACAUCAUAUUUUUAAAAAAUCAAUUUGUAAAUGAAUCACAUGCUAACUUGUUCAAAAUCCUGGGAGGAAAGUGAUGGCAAACACCAACUGGUAACUGAAUAGCAUUUAUGGAAAAGAUGGUUACUAAAGUGUGGGUAGGGCUAAGGGAAACAUCAAAGGGUGCUGAAGCAUCCAGCAUCUCGCAAUACUGGCAAACUUUUAACCCUCCUUAGGACUGAAAAAUUACAGGGAAGGAGCAUCCAGAAUAAAUAUCCCUAUGUAUCUUUUUACUUCUUUCUUAUCAGCUGUUGAUGCUAGCCAUUGACCAACAUCAGCUAGAAGCAGAGAGCAAGAGAACUCAAAUGGAACACUGGGACAACAUCAGGCACAGGACACACAGAAAGAUAAAGAAAUGUGAUUAGAUUUGGGGGGCAAAACAGAAUAUUCAACACACAUGCUAAGAUAGGGCAACUUGCUCUGAAAGAAAACAAAGCUAGAUCUACUUUUGAAGAUUUAUAUUUAUAGCCUGGAAUUAUUUCUCAACCUAAAAUAUUAAGAUUAUGUAUAUAUUUUUAAAUAUUUUUAGUUUGGAAUGUAAGAUUAACUCUUGUGGAUAUGAACUUAGCUUGUUUUUGUAGCUGGUUUUGUAGCUUUGUUUUCAACAACCCAUCACAGGUUAAGUAGUUGCAAUAGUAAAGUUUCAUCUGGAAAAGUUUGCAUAUGUAAGUGGGGUAAUUGCUAAAAGAAAGUUGGAUAAAUGGACCAUUUCCAAAGUUGUGCGUAAGGAAAGGGAAAACUGACAAAGAGCAGCAAAGUACUUAGCCUUUGCAAUACCAGGAAGCAGAGGGAGAUAAAGGGAGUGGUCACAUAACCUGAAGAGGCUAUCUCACAAGCAAUACCACCUCCCAUAGAGGGACAUGGAUAACUCAUGGCAAAAGUUUGAACGGCGAAGAUGUCCAAGUCCAUGCUAACAGAAAGGAGCAGAUCUCAGGAACCUGAAGAAACUGGCACACAAUAGAAUCUAUAAAAGUUCAGAAAUGGAGGUCAUAUAUGUCUGAGAUUGGAUGCUGCCUACCCACAUUGAAGAUGGACCUUUCCCAAUUAAUCCAUCAGACUGGGAAAUACAGAAAGGAGAAUAAAAAGAAAAAGAAACGAAAAUCCACCCAGUCUCCCACACUAAUCUCUUCUGGAAACAUUCUCACAGACACACCCAAACAUAGUGCUUUACCAGGUUUUUAGGUACUCCUUCCAGUCAAAUCAACACCUAAAAUUAAUCUUUACAAGCCCAACCCUUGUCAACUGGCAUCCAUACACAUCUUCCUAAGCCAUACUCUUCAAAUAAAAACAAUAAUAAAGUAUUAGUUUUGCUUAACAUGAAGCUCUGUAAAACCAAAAACUCAUUAGUCCUGUCUUCAGAAGAGGAGGUACUCUUUGAGUGAUGUUUACUCUUCUCCUGAUAUCCCCUUUCUUAAAUACAAUGACAUAAAAUUAACAAUACUUAAAUACUUAUAUAAAUGCAAUUAAUAUUAUGUUAUGAUAAAGCAAUGAGAGAAGCAAAACUAAAGAUAUUUGCUUAAUAUAUGUACACAUAUGCACAGAUGUAUUCCUAACAAAACCAGGAGAAAAUACUUAGAACAAAUUACAGUCCUCAUUUCUGCAACUGGUCAUCUGAUUGUAGCUGGUAUUUAUAACUAUCUUCUUCUACUAUUCAUUCUGUAUUCCCUUUGUCUCCAGCAAGCACCUUAGCCAGUCAUGGUUCUUUACCUGGUGGGGUGACCCAAGGCUGCAUUCCUGAAGAGUCUGAGCUAUUCAUAGUCUUGCCUGAAUUGGAUUAUUACAGUUUCCCAUUGACCUUAAUCACACAGCAUAAUUGUAAGAUUCUCCCUGGGGCCUGAAAGCUUAAGGGGAUGAGUAACUCCUGCCUUCUCAGGCCCGGUCUUCAAAGUGUAAGGCCACUUGCAUCAGCAGCAUGUGUCAGUAAGAUAGCAAAAGCAGGAAGAGAGCCAGUCAGAAGACAGCUACCCUGGCUGGAAGACACGUACCCCUGAAGAUCGAGAAAGGCCAUCCGCGUACCACACAGCAGUUACGUCAGACUAGGACACUUCCUGUUUACAAGAGACUAUAAAAUCUUUGCCCCGUCUUCACUUGGGGCUGACGCCAUUUUAGACCUCAGCCCGCGUGCACCCAGGCACUCAUUAAAACAGCGUGUUACUCCACACUGCCUUGUGUUGUCUGUUGGCACGCUCUCAGGGUUUGAACGGAUAGAAGAACCUUACAAUAAUAGUACAAGACAAGCCCUAAGGGAUCUUCUGUAUUUCAGACAUGCUAUUUCUUACCUACAUUGUGGAAUAAUAGUCCAAUAUUUCCUUUGUAGUCCAGGUAAAUCACCCCAGCCACCACCAUAAUUCCUUUCUUAGCCUGUUGUCUCAGAGGAGCCCAAAGUGGCAAAGUGGCAGCCUUACAUUCCAGUUAAAUGGAAUCAUUGUUGUUUCUCCUGAUGGAAGCAUCCCUCUCUUUCGAAGUAAGACCCCUAGGCCAGCAGUAUAUAAAGCUGUGGGAACAGGGAAUAAAAAAUUUGCUAAUACAUCACUAGGGUCAAUUGUGAGUGGUUUCAUUUUUAUUGCACCCCUUGAUUCCUGGACCCCUGAAUCCUGGUUAUGGGAGAAAGAGUACUAUGUAUCGGGAGCCGAUUUAGAGCACAUGAAGCCUUCUAA